GACGAACGCUGGCGGCGUGCUUAAAACAUGCAAGUCGAACGGGGAGCUUCGGCUCCGAGUGGCACACGGGUGAGUAACACGUGAGCAACCUGCCGGACAGUGGGGGAUACCGUUCCGAAAGGGACGUUAAUUCCGCAUAGUGCGCGUUUCCUGCCUGGGAGAUGCGGGAAAGCCUUUGGGCGCUGUUGGAGGGGCUCGCGGCCUAUCAGCUAGUGGGUGUGGUGACGGCGCACCAAGGCGACGACGGGUAGCCGGCCUGAGAGGGUGAUCGGCCACAUUGGGACUGAGACACGGCCCAGACUCCUACGGGGGGCAGCAGUUGGGAAUCUUGCGCAAUGGGGGGAACCCUGACGCAGCGACGCCGCGUGAAGGACGACGGCCUUCGGGUUGUAAACUUCUUUUCUCCGGGACGAUGAUGACGGUACCGGGGGAAUCAGCCUCGGCUAACUCCGUGCCAGCCGCCGCGGUAAUAC
rnacentral:rRNA from 1 species